CCUGGGAUAGCUCAGUUGGUAGACUGCGAGACUCUUAAUCUCGGUCAUGGGUUCGAGUUUGGGCAAAGAUUCCUGCAUUGCAGGG